GCAGGUGGUGCUCCACAGGAGGGCGAGAGUCAGCCACAGCAGCAUGGCCUUUGGAUGAUUUUAUUUGACAGAGAGCACAAGCAGGGGGAGCAGAAGGCUGAGGGAGAGGGAGAAACAGGCUCCCCGCUGACCAGGGAGCCAGAUGGGGACCCCAUCCCAGGACCCCGGGAUCAUGACCUAAGCCGAAGGCAGACGCCUAACUGACUGAGCCCCCCACACCUCUGAGAAGUGUUUUUUUUAACCUGCUGCACGCCCAGUGCAGAGCUCAACCUGGGGCUCGAAUUCACGAUCCUGAGAUCAAGACCUGAGCUGGGAUCAAGAUAAGUCGGAUGCUUAACCAACGGAGCCACCCAGGCGCCCCAAAAAUGUCAUUUGUAAUGACAUUUGUCAACAACCUAAAUGUCCAGUGUUCAGAAAUUGGUUCAAAGUUGGGUUCUGGUGAUCUUUAACAGUUUCUUCUUUAUGCUCCUUUUGCGGACUUGUAUUUUCUAAGGAGAAUGCAUUAUUUUUAGAAUCACCAUCGUGAGGCUAUUUUUACGAUACAAACAAGUCUGGCUCUGCAACAGAACCACUUCGCCCAUUAUCUUAAACAGCUGUCCGGAGCAGCAAUAUCUGUCAGGCUGGGAAUAAGCCGCCCCGGGCAGGGUGUGUGCAAAUUCUUCAAGCGACCACCUGCUUCUUGCAUGCAAAGGAGACCAGCCUGCGCGGUGGGCAGACCUGUGGAUGCGCGGCUCUGCACCUGGCCAUAAGACUCCAUAAGGGAGAGACCGCCUGGGUGUAGAGAAGGGAUCCCGCAGACACAGAACGGGGCUAAUGGCAACGGGGAGGCGGUGGGCGGGCCGGGGUCCUCAUCCCAUUCAAAUAAGUAUGGGGAAAUAAACAUUGUUUCAGGCCCCUUUAACUCACCUGCAUGUUCAGGUACCUGCUUAUUUAGCAAACAUCCAUUGAGGAACCAAGCACCUGUGCCCUCCACUCCCCUCUAGAGGAGCCCCUGGGCAGCUUGGGCGGGGAGCCCGCAGCUCAGCAGUGCCCCCUUGUGUCAGAGGGGGCACAUAGCAGAGACAGGUGCUGAGAGACCUGAGAUUUUACUGAAGAAAAAUCCACCCCAGGAGAUGAAGGGUAUCAGAUCAGGGAGGGACUGAGGGAACUUCCAGGCCCCGGCUUAGCCCUGGAGACGUGGGGCAGUGUCUUACAAGUCUCUUCUGAAAUUCCCCCAAAACGAGGGUUCCAUGGUCAGGUCAGUUUGGGGAACGCUGGCUAAUUUUGGACCUUGGGUUUGCUGCCCUCACCCCUAACUCUCCUGAUUGUCCUUUUUCUCUUCUUUCCGGGAGUAGAAACGGGACUUCAAUGCCUUAUUUCUACCAUUUUGCCAUCUCUUAUUUAUUCUUCCUUGCAUCCGUCCCCUCAUCCGCCCUCGUCCUAGGCCACCGCUCUUACUGCUGCUUCUGAUUCCUUCCAGGUUUCAGGACCCCUGGGAUGACACCAGUUGCACCCGGGCAGUCCAGGAUAAUCUCCCCAUGUCACGCCGCUGGCUCAGCCACGUCUGCAGAGUGUCUUUUGCCAUACAGAGUGACAUACAGUCUCUGGAGAUCUGGACGCUGACAACCUUGGGCUCGGUUCUGUUCCCCACCGCAGGGACCUCCCUCAGGAAGGGCAGGCGGGAGGUCACCUUCGUAAGCCGUCCUGCCUGAGAAUGACAUCAUGUUGCCCUCCCGCUUGACUGGCUGUUAGCGGGUCUAGAAUUCAAAAACCGAAAUGACCUUUUCUCAGAUAAUCUUGGAAGACCCUGCAGCACCACCUUCUAGCUCCUAUUCCAGAAUCUUGAUAGCAUUCUAUUGUUGCGUUUGUCCGUGCAAGUGGCAGGCAGGAGGCUUGAAUCUGCAUCCACAGAGCCUCCAUAUGCUUGAGAAAACGUCACUUGUCCACACACCCAACCAACCGGAUUCUUGUUUGGUUUUUAAAUACACUUACUGGUUUUGUUUUCUGAUUACAGCACAAUAGGAAAGGGGUAGCGAAGGAAAUCUGGAAAAGGCUAAAAGCGAUGGUAAUCGCCUAGAUGGCCAUCACCUGGGGGUGACAAGUGUUGAUGCUCUGGGGUGUCCCUAGUCGCACCCGACUCUGCACACACUAUGAGAUACACGAAGCUCUGGACUGUGAUUACAAUCAGAACCCGUCAGAAAUACUUCACUUUCUCCAUAAUUAUUCUUGUUUACAUAAGGGAAGUAAUAAAUCUUAGUGGCUACCUAAAAUACCUGCUCUGGCUUCUACAACUUUUUGGAGAAUAAGAAAAAGAAAGGAGAAGGAAAAAUACAUUGUUGGCACCACCCACAAUAUAAGUGAAAAAUAAUCACGAGUCUAAUAUGCUAACAUUUACUCUAUAAAAACUAUGCUUAAAAAGUUUUGACUCCAGGGGCUCCUGGGUGGCUCAGUUGAUUAAGUGUCCGACUCUUGGUCUCAGCUCAGGUCUUGAUCUCAGGGUUGUGAGUUCAAGCCCCACAUUGGGCUCCACACUGGUCGUGGAGCCUACGAAAGGAAGGAAGGAAGGAAAAGAAAAGAAAAAGGAAAGGAAAAAAGAAAAAAAAUCUUGACUCCAAAGUACAGAUGUCCUCGAAGAUGAAAGUUGUAGGUUUUACUGUCUCCAUGAACUCAUCACAAGGGAAGGCCCCUCUCGUGGCUGCUGGGAAAACAUGCGAUGGGACAUUGGUCACUCACGGUCUGGCGACUCCCCACCCAGCCUCCAUCUUCCUCACCCGACAGGCCUGCCAU